rnacentral:sRNA from 1 species
UUAUAUUCUCCACAGGGGGGGAUGAGAACCCCCGACCGGGGUUCGACAACUGGCGCAGCCAGUUGGACAGACCGCGACCACGCAGUAAGCGGGCUGCCCCGCAGGGGCGAGCGAAGCGAGUCAAUCCCCCCCUCACCGCCA